UAGGGAAUCUUCCACAAUGGGCGAAAGCCUGAUGGAGCAACGCCGCGUGUGUGAUGAAGGGUUUCGGCUCGUAAAACACUGUUGUUUAAGAGAAGAAUGACAUUGAGAGUAACUGUUCAAUGUGUGACGGUAUCUUACCAGAAAGGAACGGCUAAAUACGUGCCCG
rnacentral:rRNA from 1 species